GGGUUAGUAGAUCGGUCGUGCCACUGGUAUGUACUGGUCUCACUGAUUCCUCCUUCCUGGUGAACCGUAAUGCCAUUAAUUUGGUGUUGCGGGGAGACUGGACUGUUACUUUGAAAAAAUUAGAGUGUUUAAAGCAGGCUAACGCUUGAAUACAUUAGCAUGGAAUAACGGAAUAGGACGUUCGAUCUUAUUUUGUUGGUUUCUAGGAACGCCGUA
rnacentral:rRNA from 1 species